CCCCAUGAAAUCCUCUCCACGAUCCCAUCUCUCAUCCCUCCUCCGCUUCCCCUCCUCCUCGAAUAAACCUCCGUCUGUUACAUCCCUCCCCUUCAGCUCCAAUCUACCACCAAUCUGCCGGAAAAAAAAUAAUAAGAAUAAUAAGAAUAACAAAUGAAACACUCCAACCCACCUCGUACAAAACUAAACCGAGUAAUGUCCGUUCCUCAAUGAGGGAAAUUUUUCUCCGAUGACGAUUCCUUCCAAGUUCCGAGAGGUGACAUUGCCGUAGGGUUACCAUGCACAAGGGUAGCGUGCUCGUUACCAGCGAGGUCGCUUCACCUCAUUGAGCAAACACGGAGAGGCAAGCAAAGCAAGCAAAACACACACAC
rnacentral:lncRNA from 1 species